AUGCCUGUGUUCUAUCGUCCUGACAAACGGAAGGUCAUGCCUCAAUAUCAAAUCGAUGCUGGAAACAAAAUAAUGCAAAUAUUGAUAGAUGCAGAUGUGAAUAAAGAUGGUUGUUAUACAAAGGGUGAGAUCAAGAAAGCUCUAAAAGAUUUAGGUUCCUACAUCCCUGGAUGGAGAGCAAAUCAUUGUCUCAAGAAAUUAGAUGCCAACAAUGAUGGCCAAAUUAGUGGUGAGGAAAUUGACAAUUUAGUUUAUUAUCUUCUUGAACAAGGUUUUGGAAAGAAGUCUAAGAAAUAG